rnacentral:rRNA from 1 species
UACAGAGGUCUCAAGCGUUUGUUCGGAUUCAUUGGGCGUAAAGGGUGCGUAGGUGGCGCCGUAAGUCGGGGUGUGAAAUUUCGGAGCUUAACUCCGAAACUGCAUUCGAUACUGCGGUGCUUGAGGACUGGGAGAGGAGACUGGAAUUCAUGGUGUAGCAGUGAAAUCCGUAGAUAUUAGGAGGAACACCGGUGGCGAAGGCGGCUACCUGGACCGAUAUUGACGCUGAGACGCGAAAGCGUGGGGAGCAAACAGG